AUACUCUGUUUUCUCUUCAGAUCGUAUAAAUCUUUCGCCUUUUACUAAAGAUUUCCAUGGAGAGGAACACUAAUUGUGACCAUGAAAUAAUAGAAUUUUCAAUACUCAGAGAUU